rnacentral:rRNA from 1 species
UACAGAGGGUGCGAGCGUUGUUCGGAAUUAUUGGGCGUAAAGCGCAUGUAGGCGGGAUGUUAAGUCGCGUGUGAAAGCCCCAGGCUCAACCUGGGAAGUGCGCGCGAAACUGGCAACCUUGAGUGCUGGAGAGGGUGGCGGAAUUCCCGGUGUAGAGGUGAAAUUCGUAGAUAUCGGGAGGAACACCAGAGGCGAAGGCGGCCACCUGGACAGACACUGACGCUGAGACGCGAAAGCGUGGGGGAGCAAACAGG